UCCGCCUCCGGGCGCGCUCCCGCGACCCGUAGCACUUGGUCUUGCGACCUCAGCCGACGCCUCCGUCGGCGCGGAUGGGACGUACUCGCUAGCCUCAGGUGGCCACGGUGAGGGGAUCCACGCGCCCCUCACCACCAGGGUUGGGCUUCGCCUGGCCGCUGGGCCUAGUGACGAGUCCUUGGGGUCCGCUCGAGAGAGCCGCCCCUCUUUGGGAAACAACCCGGGUUGCCGCUUGGAUUGGGGUCCCCAGGGGUCUCCAGUAUCCCGGUCCUGCUCAUGGUCGUUCGAAGAACCUCUUAGGGCCCAGAGAUCUGGGCGUUGGCAAAACAAUUUACCAUAAAAGCGAUGCCCGGUGGUGCAGGAGAAAUGAUACUGGCCACUUUUAGGUUAGAUGCAGGGGACCAGGGGCCGCAAGGCCGUUCUCUCGCCCUGCGCACAGCCCUGCUGCUCCCUGCCCUCUCCUCGAUCUGCACCCAGAGCGGCGGGCCUCUGUCCCCAAGGAGCCUGGGCUGCACCGUGGAGCCCAGGAGGCCUAGGUUCCUUCUCCCGAAGCCUCGCCAGGGGUUUCGUGGCCUGCUGCUUGGGGCUUGACAGGCUUUCCUCUGCCACUCGUGCCAGGCUCUGGGAAUGGCACCACCCCUACCCAGGUCUCCUGCUGUCGUCACCCUGCGUGGCCCUCCUGCUGUUCCCUGGGGCUCUGCAGCAGGUGUCCCUUCAGCAGACUCUGCCUGGUGCCAGAGAACGCCUUCCAUUCCUGCCAGACCCCGAUGGCUUCUGCCACACACGGGGCCAGCUCAGGAGGACACAGGGUCAGGAGCCAGGUGGAGGCGCGGUGUCACGGAGGUGCCCUGUCCAGCCAUGGCCUGGAAAGUCCUGACACAGUUAAUUUUGGAAACUCCAUCCUUCUGUACAGUAGUUGGCUUAAAACAAAUUCAAGCUCAUGGAUCCUGAGAGAUGGCACUGUUGGGAGUGGUCCAGGAAAGAUUUCCUCACUCAAAAGGGAGUGAAAGAGGCUGUCCCUGCUUCCUGCUGAACGCUAUCAGGUGAUGUGAAGCCUUCUUGAGACCGUGAGGAGCAUCCUGAUGGUGGGGACAGCAGCAUGGAAAGAUGGGGAGAGCCUGGGUCCUUACUGACUCCAUCAGACCCUUAACCCAUGUCAUUCCCCAGCCCAGAUGUUGUUAGGAGAGAUAAUAAAUGUCUCUAUUUCAA